rnacentral:rRNA from 1 species
UACGUAGGGCGCAAGCGUUGUCCGGAAUUAUUGGGCGUAAAGAGCUCGUAGGCGGUUUGUCGCGUCUGCUGUGAAAACCCGCAGCUCAACUGUGGGCUUGCAGCCGAUACGGGCGGGCUUGAGUUCGGUAGGGGAGACUGGAAUUCCUGGUGUAGCGGUGAAAUGCGCAGAUAUCAGGAGGAACACCGGUGGCGAAGGCGGCUCUCUGGGCCUUACCUGACGCUGAGGAGCGAAAGCGUGGGGAGCGAACAGG